rnacentral:rRNA from 1 species
UGGCUCAGGAUGAACGCUAGCGACAGGCUUAACACAUGCAAGUCGAGGGGCAGCGGGGGCGUAGCAAUAUGCCUGCCGGCGACCGGCGCACGGGUGAGUAACACGUAUGUAACCUGCCCUAUGCAGGGGGAUAACCCGGAGAAAUCCGGCCUAAUACCGCGUAACACCUUUUGGGAGCAUUCCCGGGAGGUUAAAGGAGAGAUCCGGCAUAGGAUGGACAUGCGUCGCAUUAGGUAGACGGCGGGGUAACGGCCCACCGUGCCGACGAUGCGUAGGGGUUCUGAGAGGAAGGCCCCCCACACUGGUACUGAGACACGGACCAGACUCCUACGGGAGGCAGCAGUGAGGAAUAUUGGUCAAUGGCCGAGAGGCUGAACCAGCCAAGUCGCGUGAGGGAAGAAUGUCCUAAGGAUAGUAACCUCUUUUGUCGGGGAGCAAAAAGGCUCUGCGGAGUCGUAUUGAGAGUACCCGAAGAAAAAGCAUCGGCUAACUCCGUGCCAGCAGCCGCGGUAAUACGGAGGAUGCGAGCGUUAUCCGGAUUUAUUGGGUUUAAAGGGUGCGCAGGCGGCGUGUCAAGCAAGCGGUAAAAUAGCGGGGCUCAACCCCGUCGAGCCGUUGAAACUGGCGCGCUGAGUUCAGGCGAGGUAGGCGGAAUUCGUGGUGUAGCGGUGAAAUGCAUAGAUAUCACGAAGAACUCCGAUUGCGAAGGCAGCUUACCAGUCUGCGACUGACGCUCAGGCACGAAAGUGUGGGUAUCGAACAGGAUUAGAUACCCUGGUAGUCCACACAGUAAACGAUGAGCGCUAGGUGUCCGGGUCGCAUGAGACUUGGGUGCCCGAGCGAAAGCGUUAAGCGCUCCACCUGGGGAGUACGCCGGCAACGGUGAAACUCAAAGGAAUUGACGGGGGCCCGCACAAGCGGAGGAACAUGUGGUUUAAUUCGAUGAUACGCGAGGGACCUUACCCGGGCUCAAACGACUCAGGAAUAUAUUGGAAACGAUGUAGCCAGCAAUGGUCUGAGUCGAGGUGCUGCAUGGUUGUCGUCAGCUCGUGCCGUGAGGUGUCGGCUUAAGUGCCAUAACGAGCGCAACCCCUACCGCCAGUUGCCAACGGGUAAAGCCGGGAACUCUGGCGGGACUGCCGGCGCGAGCUGCGAGGAAGGCGGGGAUGACGUCAAAUCAGCACGGCCCUUACGUCCGGGGCGACACACGUGUUACAAUGGCAGGUACAGCGGGAAGCCACCUGGUGACAGGGAGCGGAACCCGAAAGCCUGUCUCAGUUCGGAUUGGAGUCUGCAACUCGACUCCAUGAAGCUGGAUUCGCUAGUAAUCGCGCAUCAGCCAUAGCGCGGUGAAUACGUUCCCGGGCCUUGUACACACCGCCCGUCAAGCCAUGGGAGCCGGGGGUGCCUGAAGUACGUGACCGCGAGGAGCGUCCUAGGGCAAAACUGGUGACUGGGGAUAAGUCGUAACAAGGU